CCCUUAGAGUUUGAUCCUGGCUCAGAACGAACGCUGGCGGCAGGCCUAACACAUGCAAGUCGAACGUGAAGCCACCUUCGGGUGGUGGAAAGUGGCAGACGGGUGAGUAACGCGUGGGAACGUACCCUUUGGUUCGGAACAACUCCGGGAAACUGGAGCUAAUACCGGAUGAGCCCUUACGGGGAAAGAUUUAUCGCCGAAGGAUCGGCCCGCGUCGGAUUAGCUUGUUGGUGGGGUAAUGGCCUACCAAGGCGACGAUCCGUAGCUGGUCUGAGAGGAUGAUCAGCCACACUGGGACUGAGACACGGCCCAGACUCCAACGGGAGGCAGCAGUGGGGAAUAUUGGACAAUGGGCGCAAGCCUGAUCCAGCCAUGCCGCGUGGGUGAAGAAGGCCCUAGGGUUGUAAAGCCCUUUCAGCGGGGACGAUAAUGACGGUACCCGCAGAAGAAGCUCCGGCUAACUUCGUGCCAGCAGCCGCGGUAAUACGAAGGGAGCUAGCGUUGUUCGGAAUUACUGGGCGUAAAGGGCGCGUAGGCGGACAUCUAAGUCAGGGGUGAAAUCCCAGGGCUCAACCCUGGAAUUGCCUUUGAUACUGGCUGUCUUGAGUUCGGGAGAGGUGAGUGGAAUUCCGAGUGUAGAGGUGAAAUUCGUAGAUAUUCGGAGGAACACCAGAAGCG
rnacentral:rRNA from 1 species